UACGUAGGGUGCAAGCGUUGUCCGGAAUUAUUGGGCGUAAAGAGCUCGUAGGCGGUUUGUUGCGUCGGCUGUGAAAUCUCGAGGCUCAACCUCGGGUCUGCAGUCGAUACGAGCAAACUAGAGUGUUGCAGGGGAGACUGGAAUUCCUGGUGUAGCGGUGAAAUGCGCAGAUAUCAGGAGGAACACCGGUGGCGAAGGCGGGUCUCUGGGCAGUAACUGACGCUGAGGAGCGAAAGCGUGGGGAGCGAACAGG
rnacentral:rRNA from 1 species